rnacentral:rRNA from 1 species
AUUGAACGCUGGCGGCAGGCCUAACACAUGCAAGUCGAGCGAGCGGCGGACGGGUGAGUAAUGUCUGGGAAACUGCCUGAUGGAGGGGGAUAACUACUGGAAACGGUAGCUAAUACCGCAUACCCUCAGAUGUGCCCAGAUGGGAGUAGCUAGUAGGGGGGGUAACGGCUCACCUAGGCGACGAUCCCUCGCUGGUCUGAGAGGAUGACCAGCCACCCUGGACCUGGGACACGGCCCAGACUCCUACGGGGGGCAGCAGUGGGGAAUUUUGCACAAUGGGCGCAAGCCUGAUGCAGCCAUGCCGGGUGUAGGAAGAAGGCCUUCGGGUUGUAAAGUACUUUCAGCGGGGAGGCGUUACCCGCAGAAGAAGCACCGGCUAACUCCGUGCCAGCCGCCGCGGUAAUU